CGCGCCUGCACGCGCGCGAGAUGUCCAGGGGAGAGCGGCACCGGCACGCAGUGAGCCAGUAACCAAGGACAAGGAGCACGGGCGCGCCGCGAAAUCAUGCCGCCCCGUGCACGGGCCCGCACCGGCACCGGAGCCCUGCACCUGCUCGCUCACCCGUCGUCGUACGCGCGUCGGCUUGGCCGCUCCCAUCACGGCCCUGCCCCAGCCCCCAGUUGUCCCCCUUCUGCCGGUGCAAUUUCACACGGCCUGCAGACCACCUGUUUUUGGAUGGAACCAGCCGGCCGUGGAGGACAAAUUUACAUUCGCGAGCUAGCCAUGGAGGUCGAAUCCAAGCUCUCAGGGCGCAUGGAUAUGCAGAGGAAGGAUAGAACCAGGAUGGAGAGCAAAGUGUCAAGUCUAGUGAAGGAGAAUCAAGAGAUACAUACCAUGUUGAAGGCUGCUAUAACUGAGAAGGAGGCGGCGGAGGAUAGCCUUCGUGCAUUGAAGGGCGAAAAGGAGCAGGGAAGAAGUGCCAUCUUGCAGAUUGCUGACAGAGGAUUGCACAAGGUUGGCUUUGGCUUCAUCAUGGAGGUGAUAAGUGGCGAGCCAAAAAGCGAGGAGGAGCCAACCACCUCUGGUACAGCAACUGCGACAUCUGAUGGAAGAGAAAAUGAACAAGAGCACAUCAGUCUGGCUUGUGUAAUUGAAAAUACAGUGAAAACCCUGCAUGGUGAUAUCAGUGAUCUAAGGCAGGCCUUUGACGAAUCCAGAAUUUCUUUUUAACAGGUCAGAUUGUGAUCAUUUCCAACUUCUUGCUGCUGAACGGGCUCAGAAGAUAAACAACCUUGAACCGUAUAUAAAGGAUUUGGAAAAAAGAGAGAGCUUUCUAGUUCACAGUGUGGAAGACCUCACUCUAGAGAUGAAAGCAGUAGAACAGGAGGCUACAAGAUGGAGGGAAGCAUGUGAACAGGAGGUAGAAGCUGGAAAAUCUGCCAUCAAAGAACUCAACCAGGAGAUUGCCUUGCUCAGAGAAGAACUGGGAAGGGUAAAAGCAGACUUGGAGACUGCAAACAGUAAGCUACAGCUAAAGGAGAAAUUAGCAGCCAGUGCAAUGGUAGCACAAGCAGCUGCAGAUGCAUGCCUCAAGCUUGCAGACAGGAGAUCUGCUGGGCUGCAACGGAGGAUAGAAGAGUUGACGAGACAAAUAGAGCAAGAAGAUGCACAUGGAAGAAAGGAGAGAGGAAGUACUCGCAGAAGAUUAAGGUAUAUCUGCUGGCCUUGGCAGCAACUUCAAGUUAUAUCAGCAUCCUGUCAAGCUAGAACAUGGUUUGUUGAUCAGAAUGGUAGAUUGCUACCAAGGACAGAAGCACUAUUGCAGACAAGAAUCUAACUUCUCUUCUCACACAUUCAUUCCCUGUAAUAGACUCCUGCCUCACUGGCUCCCUAUAUUGCACUUUCUACCCCACUCAUUUUGUAACAGUAGUUUUAUGUAAGCACGAUUGUACACAUCUAAGGUAGCGUAUACUAAGUUCAAGUGGUCUUGACAUCA